rnacentral:rRNA from 1 species
CNGCGACGGGAAACUGCGUACGGCUCAUUACACCAGCCUUAAUUUACUUGACCUUGACAACCUACUUGGAUAACUGUGGUAAUUCUAGAGCUAAUACAUGCACCAAAGCUCCGAUCCUCGCGGAGAGGAGCGCAUUUGUUCGCCACAAAACCAAGCGCCCAUCUGGGCGUCCAGUGCUGAACCAGAACAACUCAGCUGAUCGCACGGUCUUGUACCGGCGACGUGUCUUUCAAGUGUCUGCCUUAUCAACUUUCGAUGGUAGUGUACCUGACUACCAUGGUUGUGACGGGUAACGGAGGAUAAGGGUUCGACUCCGGAGAAGGGGCCUGAGAAAUGGCCACUACGUCUAAGGAUGGCAGCAGGCGCGCAAAUUACCCACUCUCAACGCGAGGAGGUAGUGACGAGAAAUAACGAGACCGUUCUCAUACGAGGCCGGUUAUUGGAAUGGGUACAAUUUAAA